rnacentral:lncRNA from 1 species
UUGGUAGUUUGUUUGUUUUUGUUUUUGUCGGUAAUGGCUCAGCCUUCUAAAAGUGGUAACAAUUUGUGCAAAAGUUGUUGGCAAACUUUGUAGACAAAACAAACAAACGAAAAAAGCCUUCACAAAAAAAAGACACAGAGAAAAAGAGCGAAGGGUGGCUGCUGAAGGCAGUUCAACAUUCCAAACAUGAUUACAAAGCUCCAGCAAGCCAGCAGGUAAAUCAUCAUACAAUAUUUAGCAGGUUGUCACACUUUAAUUCUUGUAAUUAAGUAUAUUUCCCAUUACAAUCACUUGUACUGAUACUAGUAAUCUAUAUCACGCCAUAUUUUAUUAAAACCAAAUUAAUAGUAGGCCUAAAUAGUAAAAAAAGAAAGCAAGUUGAUUGAAAGUAGUUGUCUAUCUAUUAGUAUAUAAUAUAGACUUAUGCUGUAAAAUAUUAAAUUAAAUGUCUAAUACUUAUAGGGGAGAGUGGGGUAACAUUAGCCACUUUUUACUUAUGGGGUCCUAAAGAUAAGGGAAAAUGAUGCAGAAGUACAAUGAAAGUAUCUAUCCUAUUCAAGUGAAAGUAUUCCGAUCAUUUUAAAUGAUCAGAAUGUAUCUAUGACAAAGGGUUCUAAAAAUAUGGCUUCUUAUAAAAAAGUGUUCCCAUGGCUCAGUUUGCCCCAGGGUUGGGGUAAGUUGAGCCGAGUCGAGUCAGUGGGUAGAUGCACCAUCUAGGUGUAAAAUAACCAUCUGACGGAAUCUGAUCCAAACCCAUGUGAAAUAAAUAAUAAUAAUUUAAAAACUAAUUUAAUAAUUUCCUUUUACAGACAGUCAUAUUUAUUUUCUUAAAGUUAACUUUAACAACACAAAACCAACCAAUUUAAGUGUAAAUUUCAAUAUUUAAUUGUUUGCAUCUCUGAAACAAUAUGUUGAACUCCCUAAAAAGUUGUAGCCUUCCUAAAAACAGACUAAACAGAGUUUGUUGGCCAUUAGUGACUAUAGGUGGAAAGAUAUUUUAUUUAUUUAUUUAUUUUUAUUUGUUUUCAUAGCAAUAUCUGGCAACACUGCCAGAACUUAAACUGAUAGUAAUCAAAAGAGCCCACAGGUGUGUUAUUGCUGACAGGUUACCACAUACGGUAAGGCAAACGCAAAAAAGAAAAACCCAUCAUGAUAUUAUCUGUGAGAAACAUUAUCAACACUAUCAAAACAGUAGCAUAUAACACUAGUGCAGAGAUCUGUAGAACAAGUAUGUUGCGUCUAUGCUAUUUCAUAUUGUAGUUACAUUUUCACAUAGUUGUGCCUACAACAUUCAUAAGGGCACUAGACAAAGCAAUGGUUAUUAAUGAAAACUAUAAUAGUAAUAGACCUAUGUAUUGCUGAAUGAAUUAUAAACAACUAAUAAAAUUAUAUACCCCUAACAUAAUGGUG